GAAACUCUGGAUCCACAGACAGGAAAGGAAAACCUAGAACAACAAUCAGACUUGUGCAAAAUUAGGGAUUUUUUUUCAAAACAGUGGUUGUAUUAAAUGUACAGCUUUUCAAAAGUUUGGUUUCUCAAAAAAAGGUAGAUUUUAUAAAAAGGUUUCUCAAAAAAUUUUGAUUUGCUACAAUAGGUCUCAAUGAUUUGUUACAAUAGGCCUCAAUGAUUUGUUAAAAUAGGUCUCAAUGAUUUGUUACAAUAGGCCUCAAUGAUUUGUUACAAUAGGUCUCAAUGAUUUGUUACAAUAGGCCUCAAUGAUUUGUUUCAAUGGUAUCAAAGAUUUGUUUCAAUGGCAUCAAAGAUUUGUUUCAAUGGUAUCAAAGAUUUGUUUCAAUGGUAUCAAAGAUUUAUUCAAGGAUUGUAUCAGUAG